rnacentral:lncRNA from 1 species
GCCGCGUUUCUUUUUCUCUGCUCACUUCCUUGGUGGGAGGCGGUGGCUCAGCUUGCAUGUGCUCACUUCCCCGAGCUCUUCUUUCAGCUCCUCCAGCUCCGGGCCUAGUGGUGUGCGUAACUCCAUGCCAAAGCCUUCCUCGUCUUACUGGCAUCUGCGGGACACUCAUCCCAUCAAGAUGAACCAUCAUGUGGUCUUCUGGAAGCUGUUUGAAAGCAAGAGCAGUUGCCCUGGCGAGAGAUAAUGGUGUCCGAAAACAGGGGAGAGAUAAUGGUGUCUGAAACAGGCCCGGAAGAGUGAAAUGGGGGAGUUGUGAUAGACACAGCCUGAAGGUAGGAUCUUUAUGACUCAGUGGGUCUCCUUUUGAAACUUGGCUUCAAUUGUCAAAGUCUCAGCAAGGCCUAGCUGGAGGUUUUCAUUCUUCAUGCA